CCAUCUGCCAGCCAGAUGCAGAGAAUCCAGCAGCAGAUUCUGAAACCCUAGAAAAUGGCAGAGCCACAAAAUGGAAGAAGCAUAGAUUCCCCGCAUCACUGUGUGGAAAGCUCCUGGUGACCACCCACACUGAAACGACACGAGACCACAUCAGCAUGGAUUUCUGGAAGUCUACUUUGCAGCCAGAUGGGUAGAGCCUGCCUGAGGAUGAAGCCACCAGAAGAAGGAAGAACCAAACAAGUCCUGAGGCUACCAGUUGAACCCCUGGAUCCAGCCAUACCUGAAGCUCUAACUCCUGAAAUAUUAGUUACUAGUACCAAUAAAUUCCAUUUAAUUGUU